AGAUUCUGUUAGCUUGAAGCAACCCAAACAUGUUUUCCUCUCAGAGUUUCCUAGCAAGGUCCAUCUGCCAGCCCUGUAACACCUCCAGGCCGAAGGAGCAGUUGGCAUCCUCAGCUGGGGUAACAGCUGGACCAGGGGGACGGGAUGGGGUGGAGAGAUGAGUGUGACCACACAAACCUACUGGGCAUCACGGCCCCCUCCUGUGCCACUCAAAAUGCACCCCAUGUCUGUGGUGGUUCCCUCUGCUGCUGUUCAGUUCCCAGGUCACUCAGCUCACUCACAUCUUCAGCUGCUUUGCUGAACCAGAACCAAACCAUGUAAAUUCCUGUGAAAGAACCAUUUGGGUGGGAUUUAGCAGUGCUGAAUUCUCCAUUUAAUGAAUGCCCAACACAGGACAGGACAUCAGCCUUUACCAAGGGAUUUCCAGUAAAUUCUUUGUGGAUUUUGCUAUUUGCAAGUAUGAGUUUUUUGAACCCAGAUCCUGAAAGGGUGUUUUACAGCAUCCCUGGUACCUGUGUGUCCCUUUGUGGCAGGAGGCUCUGCUGCAGCAGCUCUUUGAGUUGGGUAUCAGAAGAACAAGUCCAGCGUUGCCUGCAUGGGCCAAAUCAUCUCCCUUUGGAGUUGGUAAAAAAUGUACUUGGCGUUGCUGAGAACAGGUUUUGACCUUCAUUCUGAAAAGGAGUGGGAUCUUAACCACCAGAUUUAUCUUCAAGCACAACGGAAAGCCGUGGCUGGAGGGAGCAGGGUCAUCCCAGGAGGCAGAGUGAGGCUCCAGGGCUGAGGGAUUUCCCUUCGGGCAGGUGCAGGUCAAAAGUGCACCUGAGGACGCGUCUCGUGAGCGAUCGAGCUCCCGACACAGCAGCCGGGGAUGAGAUGUUUCAGCAGUGACUCAGAGGAAGAAGCUAAAUAAACUCCUUUUAUUUCAAACACGGGAUUAAAUUCCUUCAUGUCUGGAUCAUUGAAGGUAAAGCUCCUGUAAUCUCCUCACUGCCAACCCCAGCCUGUCGUCUGGUGGCUGCUGGACCCGCUGGGACAGCGAAGGGACGUGGCAGGGACAUGGGAGGUGGCAGAGAGGGGAAGAGACAGCUGGGAGCAGAGCUGGCCUCUAGGGUUGCUGCUCCAUUAGUGAUGUGGCUCAUGAAGAGUGUGGAUCAUCUCUAGGUCAGUGAAAAUGUCCUGGGAAUUCACAGGCUGAAGAUGAAGGAGCUGAGGUGUUACCAUGACUGUUUUGCAAGGAGGAGGUUGAGCAGCAACACCGUGGACAAAGCAGUUGUGAUAAGGAAAACCCAGAGCCACCACAGCUGUAGUUGUUCAGGUUCUUGCACACUCCAGAGAACCCUGUUUGCUCUCAGUCUCUCCUCGUGCUGCAAAGUGCCUCUGCAAGCACACACUCCUGCUCCCACCGUGUGCUGAAAUCCCUCUCUGCUGAUCACAGGGGACAAAACAUGAGCUGGCAUCAUUGCUGGAAGCUUUCCCUGCAGGUCUGUGACACCCCAAGCAGGCAGCAAGGGCAGACGUGGCACAAGUGUCACUUGAGGGCCUUUGCUGGCAAAGCCUCUCCCAGGAGUGUCCUGGGCCUGGUCUGACUGAGGAGGGCUGUGCUGCCUGGCACUGCUGGGCACCAGCUGGGAAUAUGGGGCUGGCUCAGGGCUGCCAAAUGUCAUCAGGUUUGCUGGACCCAGCUGGAGGCAGAGGAAAGUGACAGGACUGUGGGACCAGGCAGCGUCUGCAGAGGAAAAUGCCACACAGCCAUGAGCAUCCAAGCACUGCCUGCAGCAGGGGGUGACCCUCAUCCACGGAUGGUAAAUCCACGGGGGUGCCUCACGCCCCAAGGACACCGAGCUGGUGCUUCCCAACCUGUGAUUUGAUGUCAUCUUCCUGCAGGAGUUUGGGGCUUAGCAUUUUCCCAGCUGCCUUCUCCUGGCUCCCCUGAGGAUGAGGAUUGUGCUGCUGGGGAUGACUGCCCUGGAUGAGAGCUGGAAAUGGGCACAGGUCAAGACUCAAGGAUCUCUGGAGUUGAACGAGGAAGGAGACAAAAGCAGGAGAAGGUGGGCAUGGGUUUUGCAAAGGUGCUCCAUGAAUAAAUCAGACAGGCACACAACAAAGAUCCAAACCUGUCCAAGUGUGAGUUUGAGCUCUCUGGGGUGGUCAUGCCACAGGCAGGGACACGUCCCCCUGUAGCUGCCCCCCCAAGGUACCACACACCCCAAAUCCCCUCUCUUGGGUGACAGAAGCAGCAGGCAGCACAUCUGAAGGGUUCUAAACAGGAAAACAGGAGCAAACACUGCUUUGGAAGUUCAGGGCACACAGCUGGAUGCACUGAGAUGGGAAUGAAAGCAUUGCUCAGGAUUUCACCUCCUGCUGUGGCAGUGAGCUGUGAUGGGAGGCUGUAACAAGACCCAGAGGGACGUGGCAUGCCAGACCCCAGGGGACAUUUAGGGUGGCCAUAGGUGAUGUGAUAAGAGUGUGUGGUUUGUGCAUCCCACGCUGGCAUGGGGGGACAGAUGGCACUGGUGUCACCACAGCCACAGCCAGCCUUCCCAUCCAGCCCUUACAGCUGGGGGCUCUUGGCUGUUUGAUGAUGGACUUUUCGUUCAUGUCCAGUGUUCCUUCUCUCUCCCUCCCAUCUCCAUGUGUCAGCUACAGGGAUGUGCCUGGCUGCAGGGGGGAGCAAGGCUGUCCCUCUGCCCCACAAGGACACAGGUGGCUUUGCCAGCCCUGCUGUGCUGUCACAGAGGGUCCAGCCUUCCCAUCCCACAAGGGUACUGCCAGGGUGACUGGGAGCCCUUUCAGCUGAAGGGCAGCCUGCAAAUGUAGAGUGCUCUAAGAUUACAGCCACUGUCCCUCCACUGUAAACUAUCUGGGCAGGGAAUGUGUCCCCUCUGCAGCACACUGAGUGCUCAGUAAAUGUUACUGCCUGCAGUAGAUGUGUUUUGUAACACAAUCCAGGAGCUCACCUGUGCUCAGAACCUGUUUUCAAUGUUUUGCUGCUAAUUAAAUAAAGCCUGAGGUGACUUGUGAGCCCUCCAAAAGUCCUGGGCCACAGCCUUGGCCAUCUGAGACCCAGAGAACUGCGGGCUUCUCUUCCCAGCUCUGUCAAUAAAUACAGGCUGGGUUUUUUCCCUCCUCUCAGAUGCCAUCUACUUGGAAUAUGUUGGAACCUGAUGACUGGCUGAACUCUGGCUGUUGCUCUGCCCCCAUUCCCCCGUGCUGCACUGGGCAGUUUGGAGUACAGUGCUUGUGGAAAAUGUUUGGCGAGUCUGGGGUGAUUCUGCAAGGUGUGAUUUAUUCCUUUCCAAGCCCCGGGAUGUCCCCACUGAACCUGACACCACACAGGCAGCAGGCAAGGUGCUGCCCGUGACUUUUGCUGCCCUAAGUAUUAGUGGCAUUUCUGAAAUCCUUGGGGAGCUUUACAGAAAUGCUGGCACGAGGUCAACAGGGACAGGCGGAAGAGCUCUGUGUCCUGAGGGGACUCCACGUGUCGCUGUGGGGAUGGCUGGCUCUGGCUGCAUCAACACAGGCAUCAGGCAAAAUUGGCACAGAGGGAAAUAAUAAACUUGCUGAAAAUUUAAAAAUACCGCUGUACUGUGCUCUCCCAAAAUACCAUUGUAAUGCUAAUGCUGUUGUCAGGCGCUGUUUUAUGGACCUUUAAUUAAGAAUACUGUAGUGGCUUUUGAGUUCCAAAAGCCAUCAUUGUACAACCCACGUGUCCCAGAUUUUAAAACUCCAGGGUUAUUUGGGGACCUGGCUCAUGACACCGGCAGUUUGGAGCAGCCUUUUGAGUGUGUCCCUGCAGCGUCCUGCCUGGUGCACAAGAUCCCAGAAUGGUUUGGGUUGGAAACAACCUUAAAGAUCACCUCAUUACAGACCCCUGCCAUGGCCAGGGACAGCUCCCAUGACUGUCUUCAGGUCACUUCUGUUUCCAGAUUCAGUGCUGUAAAAUGUUACCCUAUUUUUGUUUCUGUGUUGUAACAUGAACACGGGAUCUAGAAUUUAAUUAACCCAUCAUGAAACUCAAUUCACAAUCAGAGCUGCAGGGUUUGAAGACAAAGAGGGGGGAAAACAUGGGCUCAUGUUCUCCAGCAGGCAUGAGUGAAAGCUGAAACUCCAGGAGCUGCUGAGCAGCCUUAGAGUUUGACAGGAGAGGUGCUGCUCUAGCCCUGCUUUCUGAAGUGUGCUUCAGGAGAUUUCGUGGUCUAUGGAAUCCUGGUGAUUUUUCUUUUUUCUAUUUUGCACAUUUAUAAUUUAACCACUGUCUCUGCAUUUAGCUGCUGUGCUGGGCAGAAGCUGUUACAGAAAUGAGGUGGGAAGAGAACAGUUAUUGGUGCAUUAAUUUGAUGAUCAGAGGAUCACAGAGAGGUUUGGGUUGGAAGGGACCUUAAAGCUCAUCCCUGCCCUGGGCAGAGACACCUUCCACUAUCCAACAUUGCUCCAAGCCCCAUCCAGCCUGGCCUUGGACACUUGCAGGGAUGGGGCAGCCACAGCUUCUCUGGACAAUCUCAUAUAAACAUCAGCAGCUCUGUCUUAAAUGGUGGAAGGGUCUGCAGCAGUCUCAGGUGGAAAUGGCACAGGGAAAAAUGAGCUGAACUCCUGGUUUAUUGUUUGCCAAACAAAGGUUUUCUUACAGCUUCUGUGUAUGCAGAGUACAUGAGCUUUAACUUGUACACUGAAGCUUAUCUGAUGGUGAGAGGAAGUGCUGCCUUCUGCUGCCUUCAGCUUUGGUUUAAAACUGGUUUAUUUGAUUUCAUUUUAUUUUUACUGUGAUCCACCCUUAAUUGAGCUAAAUAAUUAGGAACUAAGUUAAAUUAACCUGUAGGAAGCACCUCUGCCCAGCUGUUAAAACCUGACAUUUUGACUGUAAGUCAUAACACUUAACGAGUUUACACUUGGGGUUUUUAGUAAAAACAUGGAAAAUUUUAGCCUGAAAAGGGCACUUCUAGGAAAUCAUGAACAGCAGCUCUAAACUCCUAAAAGGAGUUACAGAGAAUUUUACAAUAACACUCAGGCUACAAGAACAGCAGAUAGGUGCAGACCUGAUCAUGAGAGGUGACUAAAACUGAUGUGUUACUCAGGCUGGGUAAACACAUAAACAGUUCCUGGCUUUUUGCUAAAUGUCCCCCUGCCUUUACCUGACCAUUGCCACACCACUUCUGAAAGGCAAAACUCAGUGUGAUGUCUGGGGGCUGGGCACCACUGUGGGCUCUCACAGCAGGAGUGAAUCCUCUCUCAAACCCAAUUUCCUCAUAUAUUAUGUUAAAACAGCAGUGGCAUCAAGGGUAGGAUGGAGAUCACUGGCACCCCAAGGAUGUGGAGGGCCUGUGACAGAGCAGCUUGUGACACAGCUGAGGCCACAAGCUGCAGUGCUGCCUGUGGGACAGGGUGGCAUGAGCCCAGC